CCGCGUGAUAGCCUCCUCUCCUUUUCUUCCCUUGCAGAUAAAGUCAUUACACAUCUCAAGAACUCGGGAAUUCAAGUCCAACCAGGAUUAUCCGAGUCCGAGUUCGCAUUGGCCGAGGCGGAGUUUGGCUUUACCUUUCCGCCGGACCUGAAAGCUGUUCUCUCAGCCGGAUUUCCCCUCGGCGCCGGUUUCCCUGACUGGCGCUCCUCUCGUUCCGCUCGGCAUCACCUCCGCUCCGCCAUUGAUCUUCCUAUCGCCUCCAUUUCCUUUCACAUAGCUCGGAACUCCUUCUGGUCCAAGUCAUGGGGAACCAGACCAUCUGACCCGGAAAAGGCCCUGAAAAUAGCCCGAAACGCACUUAAAAGGGUCCCUCUUUUGAUACCCGUUUUCAACCAUCGUUACAUUCCUUGCAAUCCUUCUCUAGCAGGAAACCCCAUAUUCUACGUCGAUGAAAGCAGGAUUUUCUUAUGUGGAUUCGACUUAUCAGACUUCUUUGAUCGUGAAUCUUCUCUAUUUCGAAGCCCUAAUCAGAAUUUACUCUCCAAGCAGCUCUCUAUAAGUGAAAAAUCAGGCAGAUCAUCGACGAAUUCUUCGAGAAGAAGUCUAGACACUGUCUCCGUUACAAGAACGCCACGGUGGGUGGAGUUCUGGAGCGACGCCGCUAUCAAUCGCCGCCGGAGGAACUCAGAUUCCUCAUCUACGUCUUCAUCGUCGCCAGACAGAUAUUCCGACAUGCCAAGAUACGAAGUCCCCGACUGGGUCGAGGAAUACGUGUCCCAUAUCGGGUCAGUUUUGAGAGAAGGCGGGUGGGCAGAAUCUGACAUCUCUGAGAUCGCACACGUUCCAGCAUCUGGAUUCUUUGAUGGAGAGAUGGUGAUGCUGGACAAUCAAGCAGUUCUUGAUGCUUUGUUAUUGAAGACAGAUCGGUUCUCGGAUAUGCUCCGGAAAGCCGGGUGGAGAUCCGACGAGGUUUCGGAUGCUCUUGGAUUCGAUUUCCGAUUGGUAGAAAGGAAUCCAUCGAAGAAAUUGUCACCGGAAUUGCUCGAGAGACUCGGAAAACUGACAAAGUCGUUCACUCAACCGUAUUAAUCAUCUUUAAUCUCCAUAUUCUUCGCACUUUUGUCUUUUCAAAAGCCUCCGAUUUGCUCUCCACCUCCUUUGCGAACCUGAGAUAAAUCACUCAGGCUGAAAAAAAAAAAAAAAAGGAAUAAAUUGUUAUCAAUUAUUCUACACUUCUACUUGGAAAUAUGAUUUUGUACAUAUAGAUUGACAGAUGAAUACAUGAUAUCCAUUUGUCCGAUUUAAAUUUCUGAAAUUCAAUUUAUCUAUACAAAAAUUCUGUACAUAUAAAAGAAUUCAAUUGUUAUUAUAACGUUAGUUCAGUCGACUACUACAAGUCAAAUGUAGUACUGCAAUAUAUAUCGAGGAGGUCGGACGGUAUGGAAGGAUUAUCUUACACAUUGUGAAAUCAAAUGGAAAAGGUAUUAGUUUAAAAUUGAAUGAUAUACAACAAAUAAUUUGUAAUUUGUUACAAGUAAUUGUUGUAUUAUAAUGGAAUUGUCUGUGCUCGUUUUCAUGUUGUAAUCUUGAACUAGUUGGACAUGUAAUGUACAAAUGUUAGAUAAGAUUGAUCAAUAUAAUAAAUAAAAUUUUGAUUUCUUACUUUUUUGGUACAGCAUUAUUUAAUAUCUGUUUCUAAAUGUUAGUAGAUGAAUGGUGGGGGUGAGGCCAAGUGAGAGAAAUUGCUAUUGCUUUCGAGCUACGGCGUCGUUUUCAUGUGUAGAAUGUAGGGUGGAAAAUUGCUGUGUCAUGCUAUAAAUAUCUGUCCAUUUAUUUUCUUUUCCCAAUUUUUCAUUUCAGUAUUGGCUUCACUUCGUCGUUCCACUUUCCACUCUCUCUGUGAAAUUUCACCGGCCACCCAAAAUCAGAACCAUUUCUCCCGCUCGAUUUCCUGGUAAAUUAGAAGAAUGGUUGACGUCGAACGGAGGAUGACCGGUUUAAACCCGGCCCACGUAGCCGGCCUUCGUCGUCUCUCGGCAAGAGCGGCCGCCUCCACCCCUUCCACACCUCUUCCGCCGCGUGAUAGCCUCCUCUCCUUUUCUUCCCUUGCAGAUAAAGUCAUUACACAUCUCAAGAACUCGGGAAUUCAAGUCCAACCAGGAUUAUCCGAGUCCGAGUUCGCAUUGGCCGAGGCGGAGUUUGGCUUUACCUUUCCGCCGGACCUGAAAGCUGUUCUCUCAGCCGGAUUUCCCCUCGGCGCCGGUUUCCCUGACUGGCGCUCCUCUCGUUCGGCUCGGCAUCACCUCCGGUCCGCCAUUGAUCUUCCUAUCGCCUCC
rnacentral:lncRNA from 1 species